rnacentral:tmRNA from 1 species
UAUCUUGACAUUUAUUUGAUGUUGCUAAAUAAUGUAAGUGUGUUUUAUACACUAUAGCAAUAAAAUUACUUUGUAAUAGAUGUAUUGGACCCGAGGGCAGUACUCGGCGCCUCCACUAUACUUUAAUUCACAUGGGGGCGAAUAAGGAUCGACAUGCAUAGUAAAGAUGGUAGCUUUGCUCGGUUAGAUACCACCGUUAAGAGUUCAUAAUUUAAACGCAAACGAUAAUUUUGCUGCUGAGGGUAAUGUUACAUCACUAGCUGCUUAACUAAGCACUGUAAUCUCAUUACCAUAAGCACGGUUUAGGGAACGCCGGGUAACAGAAAGUUCCCUCA